GACGAACGCUGGCGGCGUGCCUAACACAUGCAAGUCGAACGGGGAUAUAAUUUCGGUUAUAUCUUAGUGGCGAACGGGUGAGUAACGCGUGAGCAACCUGACUCUUAGAGGGGGAUAACACCCGGAAACGAGUGCUAAUACCGCAUAAGACCACGACAUGGCAUCAUGACGAGGUCAAAGGAGCAAUCCGCUGAGAGAGGGGCUCGCGUCCCAUUAGAUAGAUGGCGGGGUAACGGCCCACCAUGUCAGCGAUGGGUAGCCGAGCUGAGAGGCUGAUCGGCCACACUGGAACUGAGACACGGUCCAGACUCCUACGGGAGGCAGCAGUGGGGAAUAUUGGGCAAUGGGCGCAAGCCUGACCCAGCAACGCCGCGUGAGGGAAGAAGGUUUUCGGAUUGUAAACCUCUGUCGCAGAUGACGAAGGAAGUGACGGUAAUCUGUGAGGAAGCCCCGGCUAACUACGUGCCAGCAGCCGCGGUAAUCU
rnacentral:rRNA from 1 species